rnacentral:lncRNA from 1 species
CAAGUUGUUUCAGUUGCAUGAUUUGCGUCACCUGUCGCUAAGUUCCAACUACUUGUCCAGUGUGAUACCUGAUGAAAUGGACUUGUUUAGUUUGUAUGAUAUGGAUCUUUCACACAACCAAUUGACUGGUUCUAUACCAAAGCGAUUUAGGGAUUUACCUGGACUGGAUUCUAUGGAUUUGUCUUUUAAUCAGUUAUCAGGAGACAUUUCAAAAAGUAUAGAACGUCUUAGGCCUAGAAAUACUUUAAGGCUUUGUUCCAACAAAUUCUCAGGAAGAAUUUCUACUGAAUUUGUAAAGUUGACAUACGAAGAGAAUUGCUUUGACGAGUCCAAUCUUUGUUCUACAUCCAACAACUUAUACAUCCCCG